GCGCCCGACGCUGCAGACAUCCCGCCUCCCCUUAGCUACUCCUACUCCCACUCCUAGCUGCCACUACCACAGCUUCCACUGCACCACCACCACACCUCGCUGUGUGGUCGCGCGCCGCUUGUUUGCUUGUGCAAGUAGCAAACGAGGGGAGGUGAGGUCGGUCAUGUAGUGGUCGUCGGGGCCGCGCGGCGGCGUGUGUGUGGCGGAGAAGAAGCAAGCUAGGGCAGCGAGGCUCAGGCGCGGGG
rnacentral:lncRNA from 1 species